AUAGAGGCCUACCAUGGUGGUAACGGGUAACGGGGUGUUAGGGCACGACACCGGAGAGGGAGCCUGAGAAACGGCUACCACAUCCAAGGAUGGCAGCAGGCGCGCAAAUUACCCAAUCCCGACACGGGGAGGUAGUGACAAUAAAUAACAAUACGGGGUUCUUUAGGAUCUCGUAAUUGGAAUGAGUACAAUUUAAAUCUCUUAACGAGGAACAAUUGGAGGGCAAGUCUGGUGCCAGCAGCCGCGGUAAUUCCAGCUCCAAUAGCGUAUAUUAAAGUUGUUGCAGUUAAAAAGCUCGUAGUUGAAUUUCGGGGUUAGUAGGUUGGUCAUGCCUCUGGUAUGUACUGGUCUCACUGAUUCCUCCUUCCUUAUGAACCGUAAUGCCAUUAAUUUGGUGUUGCGGGGAAUUUGGACUGUUACUUUGAAAAAAUUAGAGUGUUUAAAGCAAGCUAACGCUUGAAUACAUUAGCAUGGAAUAAUGAAAUAGGACGUUCGAUCUUAUUUUGUUGGUUUCUAGGAUUGACGUAAUGAUUAAUAGGGAUAGUUGGGGGCAUUAGUAUUCAAUUGUCAGAGGUGAAAUUCUUGGAUUUAUUGAGGACUAACUACUGCGAAAGCAUUUGCCAAGGAUGUUUUCAUUAAUCAAGAACGAAAGUUAGGGGAUCGAAGACGAUCAGAUACCGUCGUAGUCUUAACCAUAAACUAUGCCGACUAGGGAUCGGA
rnacentral:rRNA from 1 species